rnacentral:rRNA from 1 species
CCUACGGGUGGCUGCAGUGGGGAAUAUUGGACAAUGGGGGCAACCCUGAUCCAGCCAUGCCGCGUGUGUGAAGAAGGCCUUCGGGUUGUAAAGCACUUUCAGUGAGGAAGAAGGCCUGCGGGUUAAUAGCCGGCAGGAAGGACAUCACUCACAGAAGAAGCACCGGCUAACUCCGUGCCAGCAGCCGCGGUAAUACGGAGGGUGCGAGCGUUAAUCGGAAUUACUGGGCGUAAAGCGCGCGUAGGUGGCUUGAUAAGCCGGUUGUGAAAGCCCCGGGCUCAACCUGGGAACGGCAUCCGGAACUGUCAGGCUAGAGUGCAGGAGAGGAAGGUAGAAUUCCCGGUGUAGCGGUGAAAUGCGUAGAGAUCGGGAGGAAUACCAGUGGCGAAGGCGGCCUUCUGGACUGACACUGACACUGAGGUGCGAAAGCGUGGGUAGCAAACAGGAUUAGAUACCCGAGUAGUC